UACGGAGGGUGCGAGCGUUUGUCCGGAAUUAUUGGGCGUAAAGAGCUCGUAGGCGGCCUGUUGCGUCCGCUGUGAAAUCCCGGGGCUUAACCCCGGGCGUGCAGUGGAUACGGGCAGGCUGGAGGCAGGCAGGGGGAGAACGGAAUUCCCGGUGUAGCGGUGAAAUGCGCAGAUAUCGGGAGGAACACCGGUGGCGAAGGCGGUUCUCUGGGCCUGUACUGACGCUGAGGAGCGAAAGCGUGGGGAGCGAACAGG
rnacentral:rRNA from 1 species